rnacentral:lncRNA from 1 species
GCUGUUUUGAAUUCAUUGUUAAAGAGAAUUAUAUAUGUUCUAAAAUUCAAUAUUUGCAUCGUUGCUUAUCAUUUAUAACCUUUGUUGAAAGACUUAAUCAUUUUAGAUAAGUUGUUUGAAAAUAUUGUUGGUUACAAACUUCCUUCUGUUGUUUGAUUGAAAGCAGUCAAUGACGCUUUUCAAGGACUGCCAACGCUAAUACUGUAUAUGGUUGGUAACAACAUUGAAUGAUAGAGAUGUUUAUGAACUGACAUUCAGUCCGACCAUGGGAAACUGUGCUUUGCCGG